rnacentral:lncRNA from 1 species
GUUCUUUAAAAGUGUUAUAAUCCUGAAAGACAGAGACUGAGGGAAGUGUCCCAGAUAGGAGGAGACAAAGCAGACGUGAGAACUCAGUGCAGUGUGUGAGCCUGGGUUGGAGCCUGGAACAGAAGAAGAUCAGUGGGACAACUGACAAAGAUGGAAUAAGAUGGGGAAAUAGGUCUAGAAAGAUGAAGAGAUGUGUCCUCAACAUUUAGAAGUAAAAUUAGAACAUAGGGGAAGUUACCUGACAUGUCUGCGAGGACACUCAAGCAGCCUUAUGGAGAGGCCAUGUGGCGAAGGUCUGAGGCCUCCUGUCAACAGCUUGGUGAGGGCGCCAUCUUGGAAACAGAUCCUCCAGCUCCAGGCAAGCCCUCAGAUGACUGUAGUCCUGAUUGACAUCUUGAUUUCAACCUCAUGGGAAUCCCUGAGCCAGAGCCAUCCAGCUCAGUCACGCCUUAACUCCUGAUCCACAGAACUGGCGAGAUAAUAAAAGUUUAUUGUUUUCAGCA